rnacentral:rRNA from 1 species
AUACAGAGGGUGCGAGCGUUAAUCGGAAUUACUGGGCGUAAAGCGCGCGUAGGCGGCUUGGUCAGUCGGAUGUGAAAGCCCCGGGCUCAACCUGGGAAUGGCAUUCGAUACUGCCAGGCUUGAGUAUGGGAGAGGGAAGUGGAAUUUCCGGUGUAGCGGUGAAAUGCGUAGAUAUCGGAAGGAACACCAGUGGCGAAGGCGACUUCCUGGCCCAAUACUGACGCUGAGGUGCGAAAGCGUGGGGAGCGAACAGGAUUAGAAACCCUAGUAGUCC